rnacentral:rRNA from 1 species
GACGUAGGGCGCGAGCGUUGUCCGGAUUUAUUGGGCGUAAAGAGCUCGUAGGCGGCUUGUCACGUCGUUCGUGAAAACUUGGGGCUCAACCCCAAGCUUGCGGUCGAUACGGGCAGGCUAGAGUUCGGUAGGGGAGACUGGAAUUCCUGGUGUAGCGGUGAAAUGCGCAGAUAUCAGGAGGAACACCGGUGGCGAAGGCGGGUCUCUGGGCCGAUAUCUGCGCUGAGGAGCGAAAGCGUGGGGAGCGAACAGG